AUGUUAAUUUUAGAUACUUUUUUAACAUAAUAACACUGUGUUCAGAGAAUGUAGAUUGACUCACGACAUGGAAGACCUUUGCAGUCAUAACGUGGAACAAAGGAAAACAGGCAUAAAAGGAAUACAGACAUAUGAUUUCGUUCACAUAAAGUUCAAAAACAAUAAAACUGUUAUUUAUCCUUGAGAACUGUGUAGCAAUAAGAUGGGGGCAUGAAGUGGUUUCCAGAACACUGGUAAUAUAUAUUUUUCUUGAUCUAGGAGUUAGUUACAUGGCUUUUGGUGAAGCAGGAUAUUUCCCUGACCCCUUUGUGGGAUUCGUGACCAGAGUGUGUUUACUCAGCCCGUCACUCUCAACUCCUCACGGGAGGGAGUGCAUAAGCAAGUAAGAUGGGAACUGGAGUGCACGAGCAUUGGAACUGAACAGCUGCUUCAGCACUGGCAGGAGCAAACUUCCCGCAGCAGCAUCCAGGCUUCCUAUCACUUUGUUACAUGAAGAGGCAUCUUCAAAGAGCAAACUGAUACAACUUUAAAUUGAAAAGGAUAAAGUUUGAAAUGAAAUAUUUGUCCAAAGAUUUGUUGUGUUUUGCAAGGUAAAACAGCUCAAUUCUAUCCUGACCUUUGGUUGCAUUUCUAGAUAAUUUUAUAGGCACCUUCAAAUUCAGAUAUCCUAAGAUUUAAAUAAUGCUAGAUUUAUAGCUCUUAUAUGACAAUUUUUACCAAAAAAAGCUCUUUAAAAUUACUUAAAUUUACAUUAAAAGCUGAUAUUCUGAAAUUUUAUUCCAACUAGACUGCAUUAGUCAGGGUUCUUUAGAGAAAGAACCAAUAUAAACAGAUAGAAAGAAGGUAGAUAGAUAGAUACAGGUAGAUGAUAGAUAGAUGAUAGAUAGAUAGAUAGAUAGAUAGAUAGAUAGAUAGAUAAAGAGGGAAUUUAUUAGGGGAAUUGCCUCACAGGAUUAUGGAAACUGACAGACCACACAAUAGGUCAUCUGCAAGCUGGAAAACCGGGGAAGCUGGUAGUGUGGCCAUUUUCUGUGGGGCAGGGGAAAUAAAUUAAUUAACCAGCAAUUUAAAUUAUCUUCUCCCUGUAGUCUAUGCUCCUGAUAAUUAACAGGUGACAUCUUAUGGGAUAAAUAAUAUUGUUUACUGAUAUCCAAUCUCCCAUUAAAAUAUUCACAAUUGAUAUAGUAAAAUAAUCAGUAAAAUCAUUUAUUUCCCAUUUAAAAUAGUUAAAAUAAGUAGUACUUGAUAUCUUUUAAAACUGCACUGGAUAAAUUAUAUUUCAUUCCAAUCCCAAAGCAUUGGCAAAAUUUUCUGGCAGCAUUAUUUUGAGAAGACCAUGAAACUUUUCUUCACUCAAUAUAACAGAACAACAUGAUAGAAGUGAUUGCUAUCUUUCCAAAAUAAAAGAAAAAAAUGAAAUCAAUUCAACUAUCAGGAGUUCAUGGUUAAAAAAUGAAACUAAAAUAUCACUACAAAUGGCAGCCUAUCCUUUGAUUAUAUGUUAUUUGCCCAAUUGCUUGUAUAUUAAAACUUGCCACAUAAGAAAUUGAUAAUAAUUAAGUGUUUUCUGUAAAGCUGCAAUCUAUAGUAGCAUAUUCUUAAAUAUUGGUUUUAUGCUAUACUAUGAGUUCUGCAAGGAGUGAGAUAAAAACAUGUCACUGAAACACUAGGGAUUUGGUCUAGGUCCUGUUGCUCACAGCAAAGAAUGCCAGUUGCUGAGAUGGACUUUGCCAAGGAAGAAGGAUUUAUUCGGGUGCUGCAGCUGAGGAGAUGAGAUCAGUCUCAAAUCUAUCUCUCUGAUUAACUAAAAUUAGAGAUUUAUAUAGCAGGGAAGAAAUGUAACUAUGUGUGGAAUAACAGGAACUCAGAAAGGGUAUGGAAGCAAUCAUGAUGAAUGAGGGGCCUGCCAUCUUAUUGUCUGGAUAUGGUUUUAGUUCUCUGAUACUUUUAAAGAGGCCUGGGGGUCCAUUCCUGAGAAAUAAACUCAGAUAAAACAAAUGUAAGUUUCAGGGUCAAUUUCUUUUCUUCUCUCUUUUUUUUUUUUUAGAUUGGGUCUCCUUCUGUCACCCAGGCUGUAGUGCUGUGGUUCGAUCUUAGCUCACUGCAACCUCUGCCUCUCAGGCUGAAGCCAUCCUCCCACCUGGGCCUCCCCAAUAGCUGGGACUUACAGGUACAUGCCAGACACCAAGUUAAUUUUUUUUUUUUUGUAUUUUUUGUAGAGAUGAAGUUUUGCUAUGUUGCUCAGGCUGGUCUCCAACUUCUG
rnacentral:lncRNA from 10 species